GACGAACGCUGGCGGCGUGCUUAACACAUGCGAGUCGAACGGAAAGGCCCUGCUUUUGUGGGGUGCUCGAGUGGCGAACGGGUGAGUAACACGUGAGUAACAUGCCCUUGACUUUGGGAUAACUUCAGGAAACUGGGGCUAAUAUCGGAUAGGAGCUCCUGCUGCAUGGGGGGGGAUGGAAAGUUUCGGCGGUUGGGGCUGGAUUCGCGGCUUAUCAGCUUGUUGGUGGGGUAGUGGAUUACCAAGGCUUUGACGGGUAGCCGGCCUGGGAGGGUGGCCGGCCACAAUGCGCCUGCGAGACGGCCCAGACGGCAACGGGACGCAGCGGUGGAGAAUAUUGCGGAAUGGCCCGAAGCCUGUGGCAGCGACCCCGCGUGCGGAAAAACCGCUUUCGGGUUGUAAACCACUUUCGAAUGUGACGUAGCCUUAGUGACGGUAAUGGGUAAGAAAGCACCGGCUAACUACGUG
rnacentral:rRNA from 1 species